GAUGAACGCUGGCGGCGUGCUUAACACAUGCAAGUCGAACGGUGAAGGCGGAGCUUGCUCUGCUGGAUCAGUGGCGAACGGGUGAGUAACACGUGAGCAAUCUGCCCCUGACUCUGGGAUAAGCGCUGGAAACGGCGUCUAAUACUGGAUACGAGCUGCGAAGGCAUCUUCAGCAGCUGGAAAGAAUUUCGGUCAGGGAUGAGCUCGCGGCCUAUCAGCUUGUUGGUGGGGUAAUGGCUCACCAAGGCGUCGACGGGUAGCCGGCCUGAGAGGGUGACCGGCCACACUGGGACUGAGACACGGCCCAGACUCCUACGGGAGGCAGCAGUGGGGAAUAUUGCACAAUGGGCGAAAGCCUGAUGCAGCAACGCCGCGUGAGGGACGACGGCCUUCGGGUUGUAAACCUCUUUUGGCAGGGAAGAAGCGAAAGUGACGGUACCUGCAGAAAAAGCGCCGGCUAACUACGUG
rnacentral:rRNA from 1 species